rnacentral:rRNA from 1 species
UACGUAGGGUGCGAGCGUUGUCCGGAAUUAUUGGGCGUAAAGGGCUCGUAGGCGGUUUGUCGCGUCGGGAGUGAAAACCCAGGUGCUUAACACCUGGCUUGCUUUCGAUACGGGCAGACUAGAGGUAUGCAGGGGAGAACGGAAUUCCUGGUGUAGCGGUGAAAUGCGCAGAUAUCAGGAGGAACACCGGUGGCGAAGGCGGUUCUCUGGGCAUGACCUGACGCUGAGGAGCGAAAGUGUGGGGGGAGCGAACAGG